rnacentral:lncRNA from 1 species
CUGCAUGACUGAGAAUCUGGGAUACCACCACAUUCCACUGCAGCCUCAGCGGCCUUAAGACAUUUUCGUUUCUGCUGGAGGGGAAAACAGACAGGAUACAGAGAUGGUGAAAGUUUGAUUUCAGGCUGAGAAACGGGGUGAUAUCAUCAGUCUGAGAAUUACUCACUGGUGUUAGCUGAGUCACCUGUCCAGAAAUAGAGCAGGCAGAGCUGAGGUAAGCGGCCGAGGGGGUGUCAGGAGGGGGUGGCUACACCUGCACCUCUUCUAAUUCCAGCACCGCACCGCUUGGCUCUGAAGUCCAGGAGCAGCUGUGACUCAGCUGUGACCGGCCUGGGGGAUGGAUACGGAGGACUCAGAGGAGGAAAGACUUGUGAGGAUGCUGAACCUGUCUAGAGGUGUUGGACAACUUGAGGAGGUGAAGAAGAGCUGACCCAUAACCCCAGCAGAUACACAGUCAAUAAAGAGGAUCUCUGGACCACAAAGGAGAUGAUAAGAGACAACGCCGUCAUUGAGAUUCUAACCUGGGGCUUCCAGAUACUAAUCAGGUGAACUGUAUAUUAAAUCAGACUGCCAAGAAGAUUUUUUUCAAUAUUUUAACUUUGGAAGACUAAAGAAACUGGUGCUUCCAGCUACACUUUAAACUGAAUUUGUAUUCCAUCUCAAUUUCCUUUGAGCCUCUCUGAGUCCAUUUGAUGCUAUUAUCCACAGAUGGACAAAGCUAUUUUCCACAGCUGAUUUCACAUGUGAUUCUGCAAGCUAUUUGCCUUUCUACUUCCCUGUAAGCCUGCAGAUUAUAAUUUUCAAAUACCCUCAAGUAUGUGUUCAUUCUCACGAGCACUGAGUCAGUAUCUAAAUGCCGAACAGCACCAUUUCUGAACAGCCAUAUCUACAGAUCUGAAAGGCAGUGAUCUGAGGAGAGCCAGCAGUAAGAAGAGAUCCAAAGGUUCUUUUUCUCAGGUUAUUUUUCUAAAUAGGUCAGUGGUUUGCAACAUAUUUGGUAAAUAAGAAUCACCUAAGUAGAUCUCCAGGCUUGAUCCUCACCCUACAAGUCAGGAUCUCUAAAAGUGAUCCCAGG